UACGUAGGCAGCGAGCGUUUGUUCGGAGUUACUGGGCGUAAAGGGUGUGUAGGCGGUUGUUUAAGUUUGGUGUGAAAUCUCCCGGCUCAACUGGGAGGGUGCGCCGAAUACUGAAUGACUAGAGUGUGGGAGAGGUGAGUGGAAUUCCUGGUGUAGCGGUGAAAUGCGUAGAUAUCAGGAGGAACACCGGUGGUGUAGACGGCUCACUGGACCAUAACUGACGCUGAAACACGAAAGCGUGGGUAGCAAACAGG
rnacentral:rRNA from 1 species